AUAUAUAUAAAUAUAGAAUAUACUUAUAUAUGUAAUAUAAAAAUAUGUAAAUAUGUAAAUAUGUAAUAUAUAUAAAUAUAGAAUAUGUGACAUGCAUGUCACAACAUUAAGGUACUUUCAAAAUCCUUUUCUGCCUUGCCAAGCUGUAAGAGUAUGCUUAUAUGCUUAGGACAUAAAAGCCUUGCCUCUGUAUGUUCAAAAGUAAAAUAUUGGUCACAAGUUGACUUAACGUGCUAAGCAAGAAACUUGCAGAAGAGAUAGUGCUUUCAUCAACUUUUGUACUUACUUUCUUUUACCACAUCUAAAUAAUAGAAUAAUGUAUUCUGUAGAAUUAUUUAUUUUAAUGUUUAAUUGCUUGAGUUGUAUCUCUCACUGAAUCCCUAAGGAAAAAGUCUUUUGCCCCUCAGGUUUUGCUGUUGUUUCUCUUGUGUUAUUAUAAUUUUUAACUGGUUUAUCUGAUUCUUUCUGUACAGUGGUAUGAACAUAAUCAAGGCUGAGUUCAGCCUCUUCUAAUUCAUGAGCUGAACAGCGUGCAUCUGGUCCACGUACAGAACAGGCAGAGCAAUCAGCCAGGCUGGCUUCUCAGCUGCAGUUACUUGACAGAGCUUAGCCUGUACUACUUUGCAGUACUACAGCAGUACUGCUCUGUGCACUCUAGCUAAGGAGUUGGUAUUCAGUGCUUGAGGCAAUAAUCUAUUUUUUAUGCUACUGCUGAACGUAGUUUAUCCCAUUAUUAGGUAUUUUUCUCUAGCAUUGUGACAGCAAUUCAAGGAAUAUUCUAAUUUUGUUGGAUUAUUCUUUUUUUCCCCAAGGAUUUUAAACAAGAUUAAAGUAUAAAUAAGGUGAGACACCAAACAAAACCAUAGCUCAGUAUUUUAAGUACUGCAGUGCAGGGGGCAAAUAAUGAGAAUAAUGAUAAAUGUAUUGCAAUAUGUAUCAAUUAGAUGUAAAAAGCAAAAACUGCUAAAGGUUUUGCUCCUCAUUCAGCCUGUACCCUUUGUUACUCUGCCUUUUCGUAACUGUCUAGCAGGGCUGAGAUGUCUUAUUAACAUGUGCUAAUGCUACUGAAGCAAAUCUAGACCAGUUGCAUGCACCAUCACAAUAUCUGAGUCACUCCGUGUAGCCAAGGCAGGAGAGCAGCUUCACAAAGCCCACGUGACCACAUCUGCAGUGUGUCAUAAUGCAGCAUAUGCAGCGUGCACCCAGAAAACAGGGAGAACCUGUGCUUCUCAGCUGUCACAGCCACAGGAUAGUCACAGAACAGAACAUCAGGAGACUCUAAAUGGUCUGCUUUGUGAGAAGUUAUCAAUUAAUUCUGUAAAAGGAUGAUACAAGGGAUUUUGUGCAUAAGUAUUAAUUUCAUGAAUUCUCCCUUGCUUUUUGAGCUCAGCAUGUUCAUGAGCCAGCUGACUGUGAACAUCAAGUCUUUGAUACAGUUUAAUUAUACCUGUUGUUCUAUGUUUUAUGUAUCAUUUAAUUUGUUUAUUAAAAUAAUUUAACAUAAUCUUUAACCAUUACAUAAAAUUCUAUGGUGGUUCAUGAUGUUAUAGCUGGAAAAUACCUAGAGCUAAUACCAAUUUUCUUACUACCUUCUUAUUGAUACCAUUAUUAUUUUACUCUCACAUCUAGUAGAGAAAAAAAAAUUCCCUUCUUCUCAGAGUACCACCAUUUUCCAUGAAAAGUCACUCUAGCCAGAAAGAUGCUGAACUGCAACAGACCUGCUCUUAUCUGAACGUUACACCUGAACAAUCAAGAAGUGUUUAUGAACUCACUCUGAUGGUGCUGAAAGUAAAUUAGCUACUCAUACAAGAGCUACAUUCUAUACUGCCCCAAAAACGGAAGAAAAGAGAAAGAUUUAUGAUGAUUACUCACAUUAGUCCACGUUUUUUAAAUGGCUCUUAAACAGAAUACAGUGAGAAGGAAGAAGAGGUAUUUUAAGACUGAUUUAAAACAAACUUUUUCCAUGUUUUUAUUUUUUUUCCUCACCCCAAAUAAAUUGGAAGCUUGCACUAGAUACAAACGAGGCAGAAAACAUACAUGGAAAAUUAGACAAAUGACAUUCAAAACUUUCUUGGCUUAUUAAUACAAAAAUAAAAUUCAACACCACAAAUUGUGAGACAGUGUCUCGGAGAUCAUCAGUACACUGAAAUAGCAGGGAAAUAAAUGAUGCUCAGAAGUGGACUUUGAGACCAUGUGUGUGAAAUCUGAAAUGUAAGAACUGUUGUAGUGGUACAUUUAGUUUUGUUGCAAGGAUUUAGAAAAACAGGAGCCUGUUAUUUCAUUUGAAAUAUUUGAUAUUUUUGGUUAAAUCAAAGCUUUACAUAUAGCAGAUGAAAUUGUCUUCAGAAAAUAUUUGCACCUAUAACCAUUCCAUGAAGUUUUCUGAAUUGCGAAGUCCAACGCUGGCUAUCACUAGUUGAGGAAACAGGAUUUUAUUUUUAGAUUUUUGUGCUCAGUAAAUCAAAAGGAAGCUUUUCAUGAUCCAGGUAAGUCAGAAGUCAGUACUAGUGAUACCAGUACCAGAGAACCAAGAGACCCUAAAGUAAAGCAUGUAACAUGCAAAGCUCACGUGUCUUGAUUGUUAGUUCAGCGUAGGAAGAAAGAAUGACAAGAUUUCUCAUCCUUUCAGGACAGCUUCCAGGUGAGACACAUCACCUAUAAGAAAAGAAAUAUAGCUAUUCUAAAGAAAUACUCAUUAGUUGCAGAUCAGUCUGGCAUUUAAGUUGCUUGGGGCACCAUUGUAGGCAGUGUAGAAAGACGACCUGCUCAGCACUGUGUUUAGCACCAUCUCACGUUUUCAUAACAGUUUUUAAAAUCUUGUGCUUUAUGACAGUUGAAACUUGUAACAUGAAGAGAAACAAGCAGUGAGCCUGGCUUUAGAGCAGAAGCUCUUAGAUGAGAUAUUCAGAUGACAUUCCUCCUGUUACUGAGAUGCUGCAUGUAGAAAAUAAAAGUUGCCACUAAAAAUCCUGUUCAUUGCUCCUUCUUCAUUUCUUAAUUAUAAAGAAGCAAUGGUGAGGAAGGACCAACAUAUUGCAAUGCUGGCUGUGGUCUAGAUGAUAAAAGGAAGAGCUUGUAUACUUCCCUCUGGUUCUGUAGAUUAAAAGUAACCUGGAAGCAAUCUGUAUUAUCUUUUCCACAGAGAUUGGUAUCUUUGAUGUUCAGAUACUCUUCUUAUCCCUUCAUAGGGAAAUAAAGGCAAAUUCCCUGCAACUGUCCUGUGAAUAAAAUGGAUGGAAAAGGUAACACUAGGUCAUUCUCAAGACCUGGGUGCAAGUUUUCUUAACUUGGAAAAGAAAACCCAGAUUUUAUAGGUUACGUAAAUUUGUGGCAAGGCUUGUCUCAGACGAAUCAUCAUAGGAAAGAAGUUGAGUCAAGUCAGUGGCAGCCAGAACAUACAGCUGUAAGGCAAAGGACACCUCCAUCCUUCCUGUGACAGAAAAUAAUGACAGCAAUUUCUGUGGGAAGAACAAGAUCUCUGUGACAGUAGAUAGGAAUUCAUCAGUGAAUUCUGAAAAGAUUACAGAUUAUGGAAAGAGUCCCAAAAGCACGUCUGGAUAAAGGCUGGCAGUAACUCACUAGAGGUUAUCUGGAAGAUCCCUCAGGCAGAGGUCCUGCAGCCUGUGGCACUCUCAAACAGAGAGCCUUCAGAGGCUCACUGGGUCUUUGCUGAUCAUUCUGUUGGCUCUCUAUCUCUGGGCUUCGAGCAGGGACAAGCACAGCACGUUAAGACAGAUGGCUUUAUUGAUCUCUUCUGUGUGGUAGUCCUGGAUUGCACUUAGACAUACAGCAGAACAAAUAUAUGAUGGUUGAUUGGAAGAGCUUUCUCUCCAGGCUAGGGUUUGAAAGAAUAGGGUAUGUCUGAUCUUUCAGAAAUUACCUUGUUUUGCAUUUGAGAAUGGAGAAGACUCACUUUUAAAAAAUUAUUCUUUUUUCCCCCGGUACUGUUUCUGAUCAGAUCCUAACCUCUCAUUAAAGCAAAUCAGUAUUUCCACCCACAGGAAAUAAGAGCUUAGAGUCAAUUCCUCUGUUAUUAUUUUGUAGUUAAAUUGUAAAAUCACUGAGAGGCAUCAAUCAGGAUUGGAUUAAAGUAAUGCCAGGAAAAAAAAAAAGAAACAAAAAACCCCACAAAAACAACAGAACUAGAUCACAGUUUCGGACUCUGAUCCCUCCCUAUUCCAAGUUCUUACGGAUUUCAUAUCAUUUAAUUACAGCCCAAAAAGUACUUCUUUUGGAAAACCAAUUAAUAUGCCUUCUCAGUGCAUCUGUAGUACAUUCAUCCAUAAAAAUAUGAGUUAUAAGUGGUAUUUUGUGUAGGAAAGAUCUAGGGCAUAACACAGAUGUUUCUGGGAGGGAAAAUCUCAGUGUUCAUUAUUAAUCACAGGCUCAGAUAUGUAUAGAGUGGGCAGGAUAUAGCACAGAGGAGUAGAGUUAAUACAAGAUGUGAUGUUUUUGGCAUCUAUACAAAGCAUGAUUUAAAAGAAACAAACAGUCAAAAGGGAAACAGCUCAAACCCCUCAAAAACAGCAGCAGCAGCAGCAAAUGGUCACUUUAGCAGACUGAAUACGAUAAAUAUUACUUAGUCAGUACCCAUACAGAAUGCUGUAUUUAGUCUAUAAUAAUAAUGACAAUGAAGUAGAAACUGGAAUAAGUAAAAAAAGUCACCUACCUGAGCAAGACAAGAACAGCCUCUCAUGAAGGGUUAAAACUUGGAAAAUAUUUGGAGGCAAAAAUGGUGGAUAGUUGGUCAGUCCAUGCCUGCUCUCGACCACAGCCUUUAGACCUUAGAAACUUUGUUUGGUGUAGGGCUUUCAUCCAUUCUGAAACUCUUCUUGGCAGCCUCCUCACCCUCCUCUGCAGUAGGCAUUGGCAACAAAAGCACUUGUUGACGUUGGAUAUCCUUUACAUUGCCUUCUUGGAAACCCUGCAAGUGGAAAUUAAAUGUUAGAUUAACUAUGACUUUUUUACUACCUAACUAAAGGGCUUAAUAAAUAAGUGCUUAAAGAAGCAAUAUUAAGCUUGCUGUACC
rnacentral:lncRNA from 1 species